CUGGAAAAUCAGAGGGAUAAAUAAAGAAUGCAGCUGAUUCCUGCCUUGUGCUGACGCCCAAGAGGGUGAGGAGAGCCAUGAGGCAUGUGGGAUCUUAGCUUCCUGCCCAGAGAUCAAACCGGCACCCCCUGCGUUGGAAGGCGAAGUCUUAACCACUGAACCACCAGGUUCACGUACACACUUCUACAACGUCUAACAUGCCGUGGAAUUUUGACUCGUUGCCCUAGUCUGAGCUGCACUGAGAAAGACCCUC